GGCCCGCGCCCCCGUCGGGGCUCCCGGAGAGCGAGCGAGAGCGCUUCGUCCCCGGAGGGGUCGGGUGCAGGAGCCCCUCUAUGCACACACACACCUCCACCGCCGCCAAUGCACUCUUCUUGCUCCUCCUCCUCCUGCAGACCAUUGCUGGGAAAAAAAUAAAACACCAACCCCAAGCUCCAGCGACAAGGAAAGAUGUCGCAUCAGACUGUGACUGUUGCGAGGAGAAUGAGAAAGGACUCUUGUGUCCGAGGCAGCCCAGAGCUCCGGCAAUAGCAACUUCAGCGCAAUGCACCCUCGGAGGAAGUUUUCCUAGGACAGAACCAAACUUGGAAGGAGUGGACCCGAGGGGUGCAGCAGUCGCCAGGCUCCCCUCUCCGCGCCCAACAGCACCCAGCACCGCCAAGCCUUCCGGGACCCAAAAAGUUUUACCACGCCAAGGGGAAGCCUGAGAAAUGCGUUUCUGAGAGGGAGCCAAAGGAGGCUGCGGGCUCGGGCCGGCGGCUGGCCACGCGUGACUUGGAGGAGGAGGGAAGGCGCCACUUCUUUGUUGUCGCCCUCGGAGCCAUCACCUAGCAGGUGGACCAAGCCCCGCGCCCCAGAGACCCGGAGCAUCAGCGGCCCCGCCCGGCCCG
rnacentral:lncRNA from 1 species